rnacentral:rRNA from 1 species
GUCUACGCCCAUGCUAUCCUGAACAAGCCCGAUCCCAUCUGAUCUUGGAAGCUAAGCAGGGUUGGGCCUGGUUAGUAUUUGGAUGGUGUUGUAGGCG